rnacentral:misc_RNA from 1 species
GUGUCUUGGAGCCUAGGCGCAAGGUGCAGGCGCGCUCCCAAGCGAGACAAAGCACAAAAAUUAAAAAAAGAAAAGAUUAAAAUUAAAAAAAUUAAAAACAUUCUAUUACACUUGCUAAACAUUAAAAAAAAAAGAGAGAGAUAAGGAAAUUAAUAAUUUAUAAUAGUAUAAACUCGAUUUACCUAAUAGCAGUUAGCAAGUAGCAACAUAUAAACUAAUUUAUAAUACCAUAAUCUAACUAUAAUAAUAGAUAUUAAAUUAAUAAUUUUGGUAACAUAUUUAUGACUCAAUUAUAAUAUUUCUAAUAAUUUAUAAUAAACUUCACACUAAUAGCUAAACCUAAUAGCAAUUAGCAACAAGAAAAUAAACCCAAUUUAAUUCAAUCAUAAAACUAAAAGCUAAUAACUAAUAAGAAAUUUAGAGUAAUGGAAUUAGCAUCUCAAUUCUCAACAAAUGGACAUCACAUAUCAAAUUGUCAACAUUCCUUCACAUUCACACUAAACAAAAUCACAAAUUUAGACAAUGAAAAAAUAAAAAAAGCAUAUGGCAUACGAGCAUGGCAGAAGAAAAAAAAUAGCCACAACCACAGCCACUGGGACUUGACGAAACAGAGAGAGAGAGAGAGGCAUAUGGGAUGAAGAGAGCAUGGUAGCAAAAAAAAAGAAAAAGAAGUGCAGUAGUGCACUGACGAAA